rnacentral:rRNA from 1 species
GACGGAGGAUGCAAGUGUUAUCCGGAAUCACUGGGCGUAAAGCGUCUGUAGGUGGUUUGUUAAGUUGGAUGUGAAAUCCCCGGGCUCAACCUGGGAACUGCAUCCAAAACUGGCAAGCUAGAGUAUGGUAGAGGGUGGUGGAAUUUCCUGUGUAGCGGUGAAAUGCGUAGAUAUAGGAAGGAACACCAGUGGCGAAGGCGACCACCUGGACUGAUACUGACACUGAGGUGCGAAAGCGUGGGGAGCAAACAGG